CGUGUCAGAACGAAAAAGGUCAAAUUGGUCACCGUCACCAUUUUUCAUUAAGUGUUAAAUACUAUACUUAUCAGCCAGUUAAAGUAGUGUGUAAUCGAGAACUGAUUAUUUUUUAAAGAGCACGAGGUAUUAGCCUGCUGACGUUAUUAAAGAAAAUGAUAAACAAAAUCGCGAAUUAUACAUAGCCGUCCACAGAUCGAUAAUUGCGUUACGUUACUGGAAUGCAGUCGAAGCAACCAAAGUCCAGACCCGUGCCCUUUGAAAAAUAAACAAUUCAGUCAUAAUGAACGAAAAGGUACAUUCCGUCCCAUAACGCAGACAGCUCUGUGCAAACUCGCAAUAAUUCGCAAAGCACAGAAGUCUGUACACAAUUGCGAGGCACGCUGUAAAAUGAACAGCGAGAGGAUAAUAUCCGAUAGGGGGGACGUACGUAUUUACAACCCGGCGACUGUUUGUCGAUUAGGACAACACGUACGGUAACGGAUAAUUUUUCAGCUUGCCUCUCUUUACAGACAGACUCUGAACAUCAUCCAACGUGUCAUUAAGAAAUAUGUAGAGAGUAAAAGUGCGUUAUAUAAUAAAAUCGUGAUGAUGAGUUUAA